CGGGCGGGCUCGCAGGAAGAUGGCCGGGCGAGGCGGCGGCGGCGGCGCGGCGCGGAGCGGCGGAGGCCGCGGCGUUGUGAUUUCAGACAACUGGCCUGGAUACAGUCUGGAUUUGUUCACUUAUCCACAGCAUUACUAUGGGGAUCUGGAAUACGUGCUUAUACCUCAUGGCAUCAUUGUUGACAGGACAGAACGAUUGGCCAAAGAUAUUGUGCAAGAUAUUGGAGACAAUGAUAUUGUGGUUCUCUGUGUCCUCAAAGGUGGCUACAAGUUCUGUGCUGACCUCGUGGAGCACAUUAAAAAUCUCAGCAGGAAUUCAGAAAGAUUCAUCUCCAUGAAAGUCGAGUUUGUUAGACUGAAAAGUUACCACAAUGACCAAUCCAUGCAAGAUAUGCAGAUAAUGGGAGGAGACGACCUUUCAAAGCUGACUGGGAAGAAUGUCCUCAUUGUGGAGGAUAUUGUUGGAACUGGAAGGACUAUGAAGGUUCUGCUUAAUAAUAUAGAAAAAUACAAGCCCAAAAUGAUUAAAGUGGCAAGUUUGUUGGUGAAAAGAACAUCUCAGCCUGAUGGCUACAGACCAGAUUAUUAUGGAUUUGAAAUUCCAGAUUUGUUUGUGGUAGGUUAUGCCUUAGACUACAACGAGCACUUCAGAGACCUAAACCACAUAUGUGUUAUCAAUGAUCAUGGCAAAGCAAAAUACAGAGUCUGAGGCAGGAACAUCCUCACCUGAAGAUCUGCAGGCUCAGUGAAGCAGAGAUUUGACUACACUCCCUCAAGCGCCUCCCAGAAGAGCCGAUCAAGUGACUUCUGCUUCCUUCAGCUUCGUGUACUGGAAGGCUACUGUAAGGCCUCCUAGGAGACACCUCCAGGCUGAACAGCCCCAACUCUGAGCCUGUCCAUGUAAGAGAGGUGCUCCAGCCCUCUUACCAUCUUCGUGGCCUCCUCUGGACCUGCACCAGCAGUUCAACAUCCUUCUUAUCCUGCUUGUAUGAGUGCUUAGCUGCAUUGCCUGCCUUCAAGAAAUGUUUCUUUCCUCAUCUGGAUAGAAGGGGAAAACAUACAGCAACAUAACUUGGAAUAAGAACAGGAGGUACCAGGAUAAAAAGGAGGGGUACCUAGAGGAAAAAAGGAAAUGACUUGGGAAGCAAGAAGAAUGAGCUGAAUGAUUUCAGGAGCCUCCUUUCCUUACAGAUUUGAGCAUUCAGGCAGUAUCAGAAGAAUAACUGCAGUGGGCUCAGUUGAAGUGAGACACUGAGAGCUGUCUUUACAGCCAUGAGGACUGAAAAAUAACCUGCUGUAGGGAGGCUUUGAUUUUCAAUCCCAGUUCCAUGAAAGGGACACAUCUCCAACUGCUGCCUUCUCCAGCAGUGAACAGGUCAAGAUUUCUCUAAAACACAAGGAUGUCUCCAAAAGAGAAGCUUGAUACAACACAAAUGCAACAGAACCUGUUGCUCCUGCAACUGGUCCUACAACUCCGGGAAUGAGAAGAUCAAAGAGGAAUACAGCAUACCAAGAGGAAGGUUUUCUCUCUAGAUUUCUAUAUUAAUCAGAUGCAGUUAUUAAGGCUAAUUACCUCUACAGAAGUGGCAUGAUUCUUGUGGCCCCCACCUCAGGCAGUUGUACAGUCUUAACGGUCCAUUCUCAUUUGAUCAAAAGCAAAGUCCACUCUUGCUGUACCAAAAAAGAUUAAACCCCAUCCUUAGACUUCAGGGGGGAAAUGCUUUGCAUUACUGUGCACAGAGUUUGUUUCAUAUUUUGCUGAGGGCUUAAGGACUGUCUUGAGAAUUAAAUUAUCUUGGACCAUUUCCUCUCGCCUCCCUCGUAACGCUUUGGUCUAAUCCUGCAAGUGACCUUUGUGUGGACAUACUUUGCAUCCACAUGGAGCCAUUUGGAGUCUGGUGCAUGUGAAACAGCACAACACUGCAGAGAAGAGUUCCAGUAUGUCUAAUGAGUUAAAAUAUUUGGCUGCUGCUUUGCUCUGGGAAAACAGUUCUGAAAUGAACAUCUGAGGGUGUCUCAGCAGAAGACUGGGCUGCAAACACUCUGUAAACGUGGCUUUGUUCCUCAGCUCAUUAGUUUCAUUUUGUCUUCUCACAACAUUAUAUAAUUGCUGAGCAGAUUUCUGGAUUGACUUUAAUCAAGAUUUGCAACUCUAUGUCCACCGUCAAAUAGGCACAAACUGGUGGAGAAUGCUAACAAUUAAUUUGGCUACCCUAGAAACCUGCUAUAUGCAAUGCUUUCUUCAGACAGUUAAAAAUCAAGUUUCCUUCUGACACACUGCAGUUUGCACAGGCAGUCAGCAAUGAGCAUUUCUGUCUGUUAGUUGCAAUAAUUUCCAUGGCUGGAUUUCUAAA